rnacentral:rRNA from 1 species
UAGGGAAUCUUCCGCAAUGGGCGAAAGCCUGACGGAGCAACGCCGCGUGAGUGAUGAAGGUCUUCGGAUCGUAAAACUCUGUUAUUAGGGAAGAACAAAUGUGUAAGUAACUAUGCACGUCUUGACGGUACCUAAUCAGAAAGCCACGGCUAACUACGUGCCAGCAGCCGCGGUAAUACGUAGGUGGCAAGCGUCAUCCGGAAUUAUUGGGCGUAAAGCGCGCGUAGGCGGUUUUUUAAGUCUGAUGUGAAAGCCCUCGGCUCAACCGUGGAGGGUCAUUGGAAACUGGAAAACUUGAGUGCAGAAGAGGAAAGUGGAAUUCCAUGUGUAGCGGUGAAAUGCGCAGAGAUAUGGAGGAACACCAGUGGCGAAGGCGACUUUCUGGUCUGUAACUGACGCUGAUGUGCGAAAGCGUGGGGAUCAAACAGG